UGGGUAGAAUAGCAGCUGUUAAAAUGCUGGUAUUACCCAGACUGCAAUAUCUCUUCCGAACACUCCAGAUAAAAUUGCCAAAAUUUUUUUUAAAGAGUCGCAACGCUGUAUAAACCACUUUGUCUGGGGGGGGAAGCGAUCCAGGGUAGCGGCUGAGGUCAUGUAUAGAUCCUUCAAGGAAGGCGGGAUGGGGAUGCCAAAUGUAGCAAGAUACUAUAAAGCAGCGAUUAUAAGCACACUAAUUAACACGUUUCACUAUACCACCCCGCCAUCAUGGAGUCGAAUAGAAUCUGCUCAGGCGACGGGGCUUACAAUGUCAACGCUGGCUUGGCUACCUAACGAGUAUACACCCAAACGCAAUAACACUAGUCCGACA